UACGAAGGGGGCUAGCGUUGCUCGGAAUUACUGGGCGUAAAGGGCGCGUAGGCGGCUUAGUUAGUCAGGCGUGAAAUUCCUGGGCUCAACCUGGGGACUGCGCUUGAUACGGCUAGGCUAGAGGAUGGAAGAGGGUCGCGGAAUUCCCAGUGUAGAGGUGAAAUUCGUAGAUAUUGGGAAGAAACACCGGUGGCGAAGGCGGCGAGCUGGUCCAUUACUGACGCUGAGGCGCGACA
rnacentral:rRNA from 1 species